rnacentral:rRNA from 1 species
GAUGAACGCUGGCGGCGUGCCUAAUACAUGCAAGUCGAGCGAACAGACGAGGAGCUUGCUCCUCUGACGUUAGCGGCGGACGGGUGAGUAACACGUGGAUAACCUACCUAUAAGACUGGGAUAACUUCGGGAAACCGGAGCUAAUACCGGAUAAUAUAUUGAACCGCAUGGUUCAAUAGUGAAAGACGGUUUUGCUGUCACUUAUAGAUGGAUCCGCGCCGCAUUAGCUAGUUGGUAAGGUAACGGCUUACCAAGGCAACGAUGCGUAGCCGACCUGAGAGGGUGAUCGGCCACACAGGAACUGAGCCGCGGACCAGACUCCUACGGGAGGGAGCAGUGGGGAUUUUUCCGAAAUGGGCGAAAGCUUAGGGGGGAAACGCCGGGGGGGGAAUAAAGGUCUUCGAAUCGUAAAACUCUUUUUUUGGGAAAAAAAAAAUGUGAAAGUAACUAUGCAGGUUUUAGCGGUACCAAAUCAGAAAGCCGCGGCUAACUACGG